rnacentral:rRNA from 1 species
UACGAACCGUCCAAACGUUAUUCGGAAUCACUGGGCUUACAGAGUUCGUAGGCGGUCUGGAAAGUUGGGUGUGAAAUCCCUCGGCUCAACCGAGGAACUGCGCUCAAAACUACCCGACUCGAGGGAGAUAGAGGAAAGCGGAACUGAUGGUGGAGCGGUGAAAUGCGUUGAUAUCAUCAGGAACACCGGUGGCGAAGGCGGCUUUCUGGGUCUUACCUGACGCUGAGGAACGAAAGCUAGGGGAGCGAACGGG